rnacentral:rRNA from 1 species
GUGCCAGCCGCCGCGGUAAAACCAGCACCUCAAGUGGUCAGGAGGAUUAUUGGGCCUAAAGCAUCCGUAGCCUGCUCUGUAAGUUUCCGGUUAAAUCCAUUAGCUUAACUGAUGGGCCGCCGGAAAAACUGCAAAGCUAGGGAGUGGGAGAGGUAGACGGUACUCGGUAGGAAGGGGUAAAAUCCUUUGAUCUAUUGAUGACCACCUGUGGCGAAGGCGGUCUACCAGAACACGUUCGACGGUGAGGGAUGAAAGCUGGGGGAGCAAACCGGAUUAGAUACCCGGGUAGUCCCAGCUGUAAACGAUGCAGACUCGGUGAUGCCCUGGCUUGUGGCCAGUGCAGUGCCGCAGGGAAGCCGUUAAGUUUGCCGCCUGGGAAGUACGUACGCAAGUAUGAAACUUAAAGGAAUUGGCGGGGGAGCACCACAAGGGGUGAAGCCUGCGGUUCAAUUGGAGUCAACGCCAGAAAUCUUACCCGAGGAGACAGCAGAAUGAAGGUCAAGCUGGAGACUUUACCAGACAAGCUGAGAAGUGGUGCAUGGCCGUCGCCAGCUCGUGCCGUGAGAUGUCCUGUUAAGUCAGGUAACGAGCGAGAUCCCUGCCUCUAGUUGCCACCAUUACUCUCAGGAGUAGUGGGGCGAAUUAGCGGGACCGCCACAGUUAAUGUGGAGGAAGGAAGGGGCCACGGCAGGUCAGUAUGCCCUGAAACCUUGGGGCCACACGCGGGCUGCAAUGAUAGUGACAAUGAGUUCCUAAACCGAAAGGUGGAGGCAAUCUUCAAACGUUAUCACAGUUAUGAUUGAGGGCUGCAACUCGCCCUCAUGAAUAUGGAAUCCCUAGUAACUGCGUGUCAUUACCGCGCGGUGAAUACGUCCCUGCUCCUUGCACACACCGCCCGUC